ACCUCAGCACUCUCAGGUGCCCGGGACCCUGCAGAGAAAUAGCAGAUUGACAGUCGAUUGUACACUUUGAACUUACACCGGCUUCCUCCCAGUGCCUUCCCAAAUUAAGUGAGAACAUGAGGGAAAAUUGAAUCUUGAGGAAGAAUGUGUUCCGAGGCAGAAUGUUCUAGUUUUGUUUCUCUUGCUGUGAUAAAAUAUCCUGACAAAAGACAACUUAGAGAAGACAGUGUCAUUUGAGUCCAAUUCCAGGUUAAAGACCAUUAGUGUAGGACAUCAAAGAAGGAACCUAAAACCCAGUAUCCACAGUUAAGAGAAGAAAGGAAGAGUAAAUGCUUAAUAUUGCUUGCUAUCUUGGAUAACUUUCUUUUCUUGUACUGUUCAGUACCCCCAGCCUAGGAGCUGCUGUCACCCAUGUUGUGCUGAGUCUUUGUAUAUCAAGAAACUCUGAGGACAGCUCCCCCCCCCCCAGACAUGUCCACAGGCCAAUCUUAUCUAGACAGCUCUUCAGAAUCUUUCCCAGGCAGUUCUAGAUUCUGGCAAGUUGAUAGUUAAAGAUGACCAAUGCAGAGCCCAUCCAAGAUUCUAAAGAGAAGAUUCAGGUCGGUGAAUCUUUUUGUUUCUUCUCCUUUCCUAUCCAAACCCCAUUGUCAAGCCCAAAAUUCGAAGGGCUUUUGAAGAAUGAGUCUGUAAAUGAUUUUGUACCUAGAUGUCAAGUUUACGAUCCUAGCUAAAAUAUAUGUGCAUCUGGGCAUGGGGGGGAGAUGCUAUUUUCUCCUCUAUACCUCAAGAAUUGGAUACCAUGAGGCCUGUAGCAAGACACCAGCUGGGCUUGAGCUUGUCCUGUCAUCUGUGACUCAUGAGCCUUUUAUGACUUGACAAUGGAUUCUUACCUUAGUAACUACCCCUCAUGUUAAUAGUAGAGUGCAUGGCAAGACAACAUAUUUUAUGCCACUCAAACAAACUGGUCCAACUGCCAGACCAAAAUAAAAUCUCUGAGAUUGCAGGCCCUGUGGAAGCCUGAGGUGUGGGGACUGAAGGGUGGACAGAGAGCAGCAGGCAUCCUGAAAUUUUGUAUGGCUCCUUUAUUCAAGAGUAAACUGGGGUCUUCACUGAAACCCAAUCUGACUCAUGCCAUUGUUGCAGCCACCACCACCACCACCGCUGCUGCUGCUUCUGCUGCUAUCAACUCCUCUGAUAGCAGAGCUAGCAUUUACAGACUAUUAUUAUUAUUAUUAUUAUUACUACUACUACUACUACUACUACUACAACUACUACUACUACUACUACUACUACAACUACAACUACUACUACUACUACUACUACUACUACUACUACUACUACUACUACUACUACUACUACUGACUCCUUACCAUCUUUAUCUGCUGCUCCAGACUUUUGAUACCAUAUUGAAUCUUUCAGAGGCACACAGUCUUGAGGACUGCAGACACACCCAGCCUUGUUGGGUGAUUCUCAGUUUCCACGUGAAAGUCAGCUACUGUAGGAUUACUCUAACUGCUGAGCAACCCCAUCUCAAAGACUGUGUAACAACCAGACUCUUAGCCUCGCUGGUGUUGGACAGCUGUUGUUACUAUUUCAAGACUAAGGCACUAGAAGAUGAAUUGAAGCAUACAGCUUCCCUAGAAAAUGUCUACUGCAGAGAAUUCAAUUGUAAAUGGAUCAAGGACUUUAACACAAGAUCUGAAACCCUGAAACUGUAAGAUGAAAAAAUAAGGAGCCUGCUUCACUUCACAGACACAGGCUGCUCCUUGGUAACAGAGCCUCACUCUUCCAGAGGAAGCUUCACAACCUUGAUCUUGUCCAUGAAGUCGGAGUUGGCAAAUCCGUGCUGAGCAGUGAGGAAAUCAAAUAGAUAUUUUUGUGCACAAAAUGUAAAGAUGCCCCAUUCUUCUGCUGCUUAAGACUCCUACCCAUGUUUCCUGGCUCAUGAGCCCAGUCAUGGAAUGGACUGUCUGCUGUUUCCAACCUGAAGAUAAACUAAAAGUUCCCAGGCAAGCAGAAACUAGCAGCUAAGCGGGCUACAUACUAAAUCCAGUUCAUGUCAUCAACCAGGACAUGGGCAAUCUACCAGUGACCAUCUCCCCAAACAAAGAUGGAUAAAAGUCCCUCAUGGUGGAGAGAAAUGCCAGCCAGCAGCAUGGAAGCAAGAACAGGAAGCAUGGAGUUCACAUCCUGACCCAUGAGCACCAAGAAGAGUCAACAGGAAGUGGACAGAGGCUUUCACUAUCAAGUGCUGCCCCAGUGACAUACUUCCUCCAGGAAAGCCACACCAUAUAAAACUCCCCAAACAGUACCACAGACUGGAGACAAAGCAUUUGAACAUUUGAGCUAUAAAUGGGAGCCUAACUUCAUGCAACACAGCAACUGACAUCCAGAUUUCUCAAGCUACAGAGAGAAUAUAAAAUCAUGCAAGGCCAGCAAGAAAAUGGAGUCCUCUAGUCAGCUGUCUUUCAUUUGUUGCACAACUUCCAAAAUGAAGGAAAGACAGAAAAACAGCCCCUUCAAGUAUCUAAGAAUAAGAAAAAAGCAGCAAUUGGUUUGCUGUCUCUAUUUGCUCUUCAUGACUCUAGGUCCUUCUACCCACUGUCCAGGGUUCUACGUCCUGCAGGAGAUGCCCACACAACCAAGGACAGCUACUUAUGUGGAAAGUCAUCCUUCAUCAAAAGACAUCUUUUGAAAAGAUGCUUAGCUAUGAUGCUGGAAUUUAUAUUUCAUUGUGCAUUGACUUCUCUUAUUAGCCGUAAGUAUGGUUGCAUCAAGUUUGGUUGACUAGAACAUUCUACUGUCUUAAAUCAAGUACUUUUAGCAGCCAAUGACUAUGUCUAGAACUAAAAGAAAAAGUACCAACAUUUAUUUGUGAAGCAAACUAUCCCUGUGCUCUAUGCUUUCCCCUUCCCCAUCUUUACGCUCUGACCUCUGUUCCUCCGGCUCCCCUUUUAUCUCCAGAUGCUAGGCCACUUCCGUGUACCAUAGGAGGUCCAUUUCCCUUCUCUCCAGGCCCCACUAGCUGUCCAAUCUCUCUCUGCCAUUCACCCACUGUUCUCUCAUUACUUUUUUCAAAGUCCUGCACAGUUUGAAUUCCUAAAGAACUACAGCCUGCAGGUGAGAGGUGUGAUUACAGAAUUUUGUGAGGAUGGGGCUAUGCCUUCCUGUCUCAUUUCCAUCUGGAGACAUCUCUGUUCACAAAUCAGGAGCACCCAACCUGCCUCUCUUAUUGAGUAUCUUCACCAAAGUAAUUCUACAGAGAAAUCCUUUCCUUAGCCUGUGGACUUAUGGAAGUGCUCGUGUUCUUGGAGCAUACUUAAUUUUUAGCUGCCUAGCAGCAGAAUCUAGAGCAUUCAUAAUAAGACUUUGCUUUGUCAGCUCUGACUUCCAAGAACCUACAUGGAGAUGUUAAAAACAGGGCAUGCCUUGUUUCAAUUCUGUUCGUGUGAGAUUUUUGUUUCCCUUUUGAUAACUUCUGUAAUCAUUUCUUUGUGCUGAAUAUUUUAGAAGAAACAGUUUUUUUUCUGGUUUUGUUGGAGAAACAUGUGGGAUAUUUUUCUUUAUUUUUUGAGAAUUUCAUUUGUAUCUGAUACUGUCACUGGAGAGGGCUUCCAAGUGAGUAAAAGCAACAGGCAGCUAUGGAAGAAGUUCCAUCAGCAAUACUAGCAUGAUACACAUAAUGUAACAAUUCAUAUCAUAUAUAUUAGGAUGCAUAUGCAAAUUUCAUGCUGCACUUCCCAGAUAUGUGUACUCUACAAGGCUUGUAUAAGAUCAAGCCAGCCCAAAUCAUAGCAUGAAUGGAGGAGGGGUUCAUGGAGAUGAAAUUAGCUGAGACGUGAUUGACAGCUGAUGGGUGCUUGGGGAGGAGAGUCAGGUUGCUUUAGGGAUGUAGUCCCUGAGGACCUGCCCACAUUCCAGUAGAUUCUAAUAGACCCUUGUACAUAUAGGCAAUACUAAAUGAGCUCAGUGAGAAGAAGGGUGGGG